GGUGAGGUGGCCGAGUGGUCGAAGGCGCACGCCUGGAACGCGUGUAGGCGGUGCUCCCGUCUCGUGGGUUCGAAUCCCACCCUCACCGCCA
rnacentral:tRNA from 1 species